ACUAUCAAAAGGAAAAAAAAAUAUCUUAUUUUAAAUGUACAUAUAAUUAAGUUAUAAUUGAACAAACAAUAUAAUAUAUAACAAACAACAUGCCCUUUUUAAAUUUAUAUAAUUUAAGUAAAUCUAUAUGAAUUAUAAACAUAAAUACUGAUACAAUGCAUAGAUCCCAAAUGACAUAUGUACAUUUCUAAUUACAAAAUAAAAAAAUACAAAAUUAACGUGUAAUAAUUGAACAAACAAUAUAUAUAAGGCCUAAAACCAGAGGCUCCCUGGAGCCUGGAGCCGCACACCUGGUAACCUGUUGGAUACCCAACAGCAGCAACCGUCCAUGUUUUUUGACAAAUUGGAACAAAAUGAGCAAUCUUUUCCCCUAGGGUCCAAUGUUAAACUAUGUUCCCUGCUGGUGGCCAUAAUGGAUCAGGUGUGGACAUGUCGGAUACAAUUUUUAAAGAAAACCACCUAAGGACCAUUGUCACCAAGUUUGGUUCCAACUGGUACAGUAGAUUCAGAAGAGGAGAUCUUUGAAUACAUUUUCCCAAAAUGGCAUCCAUCUUGGAUCAUGUGUGGACAUGACGGAUACAAUUUUGAAAUGGGACCGCUCAAAGACUUUUGUGACCAAGUUUGGUUCCAAUUGGCCAAGCGGUUUCAGAGGUGUAGAAAACAAUAGGGGCAUCCUCAGGGGUUUUCUUCAGAGCAAGGGAUGACGGAGAUCCCUCUCAAUUAAUGCCCCUUCAAAAAUGGUGUAUUCUUUAAUACAAUUUAAGAACAAGGCGGGCUUGUGAUUAUAUCCCCAUCUGAACAAAUUUUCUGAAGAAAACGCUGAUCCUAUGUCUCAUAACUUUUUAGUUUUUUAUUUAAAUUGGAAUUUUCAUGCAGUAUAAUUUUUAUAGUGUGGAUAUUAUAAUUGCUUCAUUAUAUUUGUACUUUCAGUAGAAAUGAAUUUUUUAUAGUGAAGAUUAAAGAAUGAUCAUACCACAAAGAUUUAUGGUUGUUUUUGUUAAACUGUGAGUUAGCAUGAUGCAUGAUUUACUGAAACCCUAAUUUCCAAAACAAGUACUGUGACCGCAAAUUAUUCAAUACAACAAUUUUUUAUUGGAAUUCCACUGGAGAGAAAUUGUCUGGCAUUCCACUGAUCUACUGGAAUUCCACUGAUUGACCAGUGAUAAUUCCAGUGGAAUCUACUGGAAUUCCACUGAUUUACCAGUGAUAAUUCCAGUGGAAUCUACUGAAAUUCCACUGAUUUACCAGUGAAGAUUCC
rnacentral:lncRNA from 1 species